rnacentral:lncRNA from 10 species
UUUUUUUUUUUUCACAAAUGAGGCAGUUAAGACACAUAAGGGUUACAUAACUUCUUCAGGAUCCCAUAGCUAAUAAACAGUAAAAGCUAGAUUCAAAUGCUGGCUACACUCCUAACCACCCAGCUACAUUGCUUCCUGAGGGACUAUCUUCAGUUUUUUGCCAUUGUACCCAGUCUAGAGACUGACAAGUACAGCAGGUUGACUGACUGUUACUUUUACAGGCAUGGUUUAUAAGGCGAGAGCAUUUUGGGGGGGCCAUGGUGUGGACAUUGGACAUGGAUGACGUCAGGGGCACGUUCUGUGGCACUGGCCCUUUCCCCCUUGUCUACGUAUUGAAUGAUAUCCUGGUGCGGGCUGAGUUCAGUUCAACUUCUUUACCACAAUUUUGGCUGUCAUCUGCUGUGAAUUCUUCAAGCACUGACCCUGAAAGGCUGGCUGUGACCACGGCAUGGACCACUGAUAGUAAGAUUUUGCCCCCAGGA